rnacentral:rRNA from 1 species
GAUAAACGCUGGCGGCGUGCCUAAUACAUGCAAGUCGAGCGAACGGACGAGAAGCUUGCUUCUCUGAUGUUAGCGGCGGACGGGUGAGUAACACGUGGAUAACCUACCUAUAAGACUGGGAUAACUUCGGGAAACCGGAGCUAAUACCGGAUAAUAUUUUGAACCGCAUGGUUCAAAAGUGAAAGACGGUCUUGCUGUCACUUAUAGAUGGAUCCGCGCUGCAUUAGCUAGUUGGUAAGGUAACGGCUUACCAAGGCAACGAUGCAUAGCCGACCUGAGAGGGUGAUCGGCCACACUGGAACUGAGACACGGUCCAGACUCCUACGGGAGGCAGCAGUAGGGAAUCUUCCGCAAUGGGCGAAAGCCUGACGGAGCAACGCCGCGUGAGUGAUGAAGGUCUUCGGAUCGUAAAACUCUGUUAUUAGGGAAGAACAUAUGUGUAAGUAACUGUGCACAUCUUGACGGUACCUAAUCAGAAAGCCACGGCUAACUACGUGCCAGCAGCCGCGGUAAUACGUAGGUGGCAAGCGUUAUCCGGAAUUAUUGGGCGUAAAGCGCGCGUAGGCGGUUUUUUAAGUCUGAUGUGAAAGCCCACGGCUCAACAGUGGAGGGUCAUUGGAAACUGGAAAACUUGAGUGCAGAAGAGGAAAGUGGAAUUCCAUGUGUAGCGGUGAAAUGCGCAGAGAUAUGGAGGAACACCAGUGGCGAAGGCGACUUUCUGGUCUGUAACUGACGCUGAUGUGCGAAAGCGUGGGGAUCAAACAGGAUUAGAUACCCUGGUAGUCCACGCCGUAAACGAUGAGUGCUAAGUGUUAGGGGGUUUCCGCCCCUUAGUGCUGCAGCUAACGCAUUAAGCACUCCGCCUGGGGAGUACGACCGCAAGGUUGAAACUCAAAGGAAUUGACGGGGACCCGCACAAGCGGUGGAGCAUGUGGUUUAAUUCGAAGCAACGCGAAGAACCUUACCAAAUCUUGACAUCCUUUGACAACUCUAGAGAUAGAGCCUUCCCCUUCGGGGGACAAAGUGACAGGUGGUGCAUGGUUGUCGUCAGCUCGUGUCGUGAGAUGUUGGGUUAAGUCCCGCAACGAGCGCAACCCUUAAGCUUAGUUGCCAUCAUUAAGUUGGGCACUCUAAGUUGACUGCCGGUGACAAACCGGAGGAAGGUGGGGAUGACGUCAAAUCAUCAUGCCCCUUAUGAUUUGGGCUACACACGUGCUACAAUGGACAAUACAAAGGGCAGCGAAACCGUGAGGUCAAGCAAAUCCCAUAAAGUUGUUCUCAGUUCGGAUUGUAGUCUGCAACUCGACUACAUGAAGCUGGAAUCGCUAGUAAUCGUAGAUCAGCAUGCUACGGUGAAUACGUUCCCGGGUCU